AUACGUAGGGUGCAAGCGUUAUCCGGAAUUAUUGGGCGUAAAGGGCUCGUAGGCGGUUCGUCGCGUCCGGUGUGAAAGUCCAUCGCUUAACGGUGGAUCUGCGCCGGGUACGGGCGGGCUGGAGUGCGGUAGGGGAGACUGGAAUUCCCGGUGUAACGGUGGAAUGUGUAGAUAUCGGGAAGAACACCAAUGGCGAAGGCAGGUCUCUGGGCCGUUACUGACGCUGAGGAGCGAAAGCGUGGGGAGCGAACAGGAUUAGAUACCCUGGUAGUCCACGCCGUAAACGGUGGAUGCUGGAUGUGGGGCCCGUUCCACGGGUUCCGUGUCGGAGCUAACGCGUUAAGCAUCCCGCCUGGGGAGUACGGCCGCAAGGCUAAAACUCAAAGAAAUUGACGGGGGCCCGCACAAGCGGCGGAGCAUGCGGAUUAAUUCGAUGCAACGCGAAGAACCUUACCUGGGCUUGACAUGUUCCCGACCGCGGCAGAGAUGUCGUUUCCCUUCGGGGCGGGUUCACAGGUGGUGCAUGGUCGUCGUCAGCUCGUGUCGUGAGAUGUUGGGUUAAGUCCCGCAACGAGCGCAACCCUCGCCCUGUGUUGCCAGCACGUCAUGGUGGGAACUCACGGGGGACCGCCGGGGUCAACUCGGAGGAAGGUGGGGAUGACGUCAGAUCAUCAUGCCCCUUACGUCCAGGGCUUCACGCAUGCUACAAUGGCCGGUACAACGGGAUGCGACACGGCGACGUGGAGCGGAUCCCUGAAAACCGGUCUCAGUUCGGAUUGGAGUCUGCAACCCGACUCCAUGAAGGCGGAGUCGCUAGUAAUCGCGGAUCAGCAACGCCGCGGUGAAUGCGUUCCCGGGCCUUGUACACACCGCCCGUCAAGUCAUGAAAGUGGGUAGCACCCGAAGCCGGUGGCCUAACCCUUUGUGGAUGGAGCCGUCCAAGGUGAGACUCGUGAUUGGGACU
rnacentral:rRNA from 1 species